rnacentral:rRNA from 1 species
GAUGAACGCUGGCGGCGUGCCUAAUACAUGCAAGUCGGACGGAGCGCUUCGGCGCUCAGUGGCGAACGGGUGAGUAGCACAUGGGCAACCUGCCCUUCAGAGGGGGACAACAGCUGGAAACGGUGACUAAUACCGCAUGUCAUCGCCGAGGGGCAUCCCUUGGUGAAAAAAGGAGCAAUUCGGUAUAGGAUGGGCCCGCAUCUGAUUAGCUAGUUGGUGAGAUAACAGCCCACCAAGGCGACGAUCAGUAGCCGACCUGAGAGGGUGAUCGGCCACAUUGGGACUGAGACACGGCCCAA